GGGGUUGUGGCUCAGUGGUAAAGCACUUGCCUAGCAUGUAUGAGGCACUGGGUUCGAUUCUCAGCACCACA
rnacentral:tRNA from 1 species